AUUGAACGCUGGCGGCAGGCCUAACACAUGCAAGUCGAACGGUAACAGGAAGCAGCUUGCUGCUUUGCUGACGAGUGGCGGACGGGUGUGUAAUGUCUGGGAAACUGCCCGAUGGAGGGGGAUAACUACUGGAAACGGUAGCUAAUACCGCAUAACGUCGCAAGACCAAAGAGGGGGACCUUAGGGCCUCUUGCCAUCGGAUGUGCCCAGAUGGGAUUAGCUAGUAGGUGGGGUAACGGCUCACCUAGGCGACGAUCCCUAGCUGGUCUGAGAGGAUGACCAGCCACACUGGAACUGAGACACGGUCCAGACUCCUACGGGAGGCAGAAGUGGGGAAUAUUGCACAAUGGGCGCAAGCCUGAUGCAGCCAUGCCGCGUGUAUGAAGAAGGCCUUCGGGUUGUAAAGUACUUUCAGCGGGGAGGAAGGGAGUAAAGUUAAUACCUUUGCUCAUUGACGUUACCCGCAGAAGAAGCACCGGCUAACUCCGUG
rnacentral:rRNA from 1 species